rnacentral:tRNA from 1 species
GGGCGGUUAGUCUCAGUUGGUUAGAGCGCUUCCUUCACACGGAAGAGGUCACAGGUUCGAAUCCUGUACCGCCCACCA